GAGUUUGAUCAUGGCUCAGGACGAUCGCUAGCGGCAGGCUUAACACAUGCAAGUCGAGGGGUAACGGGGAAGCUUGCUUCCGCCGACGACCGGCGCACGGGUGCGUAACGCGUAUACAAUCUACCUUGUACUGGGGUAUAGCCUUUAGAAAUGAAGAUUAACCCCCCAUAGUCUCUUAGAGUGGCAUCACUUCUAGAGUAAAGGUUACGGUAUAAGAUGAGUAUGCGUUCUAUUAGUUUGUUGGUGUGGUAACGGCACACCAAGACUACGAUAGAUAGGGGCCCUGAGAGGGGGAUCCCCCACACUGGUACUGAGACACGGACCAGACUCCUACGGGAGGCAGCAGUGAGGAAUAUUGGACAAUGGAGGCAACUCUGAUCCAGCCAUGCCGCGUGCAGGAAGACUGCCCUAUGGGUUGUAAACUGCUUUUAUACAGGAAGAAACACCUCUACGUGUAGAGGCUUGACGGUACUGUAAGAAUAAGGAUCGGCUAACUCCGUGCCAGCAGCCGCGGUAAUACGGAGGAUCCAAGCGUUAUCCGGAAUCAUUGGGUUUAAAGGGUCCGUAGGUGGAUAAUUAAGUCAGAGGUGAAAUCUUGCAGCUCAACUGUAAAAUUGCCUUUGAAACUGGUUAUCUUGAGUUAUUAUGAAGUAGUUAGAAUAUGUAGUGUAGCGGUGAAAUGCAUAGAUAUUACAUAGAAUACCAAUUGCGAAGGCAGAUUACUAAUAAUCAACUGACACUGAUGGACGAAAGCGUGGGUAGCGAACAGGAUUAGAUACCCUGGUAGUCCACGCCGUAAACGAUGGACACUAGCUGUUUGGACUUCGGUCUGAGUGGCUAAGCGAAAGUGAUAAGUAACCCACCUGGGGAGUACGUUCGCAAGAAUGAAACUCAAAGGAAUUGACGGGGGCCCGCACAAGCGGUGGAGCAUGUGGUUUAAUUCGAUGAUACGCGAGGAACCUUACCAGGGCUUAAAUGUAAGUUGCAUUAGUUAGAGAUAGCUAUUUCUUCGGACCACUUACAAGGUGCUGCAUGGUUGUCGUCAGCUCGUGCCGUGAGGUGUCAGGUUAAGUCCUAUAACGAGCGCAACCCCUGUUGUUAGUUGCCAGCGAGUCAUGUCGGGAACUCUAGCAAGACUGCCAGUGCAAACUGUGAGGAAGGUGGGGAUGACGUCAAAUCAUCACGGCCCUUACGUCCUGGGCUACACACGUGCUACAAUGGUAGGUACAGAGAGCAGCCACUGCGCGAGCAGGAGCGAAUCUAUAAAACCUAUCACAGUUCGGAUCGGAGUCUGCAACUCGACUCCGUGAAGCUGGAAUCGCUAGUAAUCGGAUAUCAGCCAUGAUCCGGUGAAUACGUUCCCGGGCCUUGUACACACCGCCCGUCAAGCCAUGGAAGUUGGAAGUGCCUGAAGUCCGUCACCGUAAGGAGCGGCCUAGGGUAAAGUCGAUAACUAGGGCUAAGUCGUAACAAGGUAACC
rnacentral:rRNA from 1 species